GAUGAACGCUGGCGGCGUGCCUAAUACAUGCAAGUCGAGCGAACAGACGAGGAGCUUGCUCCCCUGACGUUAGCGGCGGACGGGUGAGUAACACGUGGAUAACCUACCUAUAAGACUGGGAUAACUUCGGGAAACCGGAGCUAAUACCGGAUAAUAUAUUGAACCGCAUGGUUCACUAGUGAAAGACGGUUUUGCUGUCACUUAUAGACGGAUCCGCGCCGCAUUAGCUAGUUGGUAAGGUAACGGCUUACCAAGGCAACGAUGCGUAGCCGACCUGAGCGGGUGAUCGGCCACACUGGAACUGAGACACGGUCCAGACUCCUACGGGAGGCAGCAGUAGGGAAUCUUCCGCAAUGGGCGAAAGCCUGACGGAGCAACGCCGCGUGAGUGAUGAAGGUCUUCGGAUCGGAAAGCUCUGUUAUUAGGGAAGAACAAAUGUGUAAGUAACUAUGCACGUCUUGACGGUACCUAAACAGAAAGCCACGGCUAACUACGUG
rnacentral:rRNA from 1 species